rnacentral:rRNA from 1 species
AUUGAACGCUGGCGGCAGGCUUAACACAUGCAAGUCGAGCGAGCGGCGGACGGGUGAGUAAUGUCUGGGAAACUGCCUGAUGGAGGGGGAUAACUACUGGAAACGGUAGCUAAUACCGCAUACCAUCAGAUGAACCCAGAUGGGAUUAGCGAGUAGGUGAGGUAACGGCUUACCUAGGCGACGAUCCCUAGCUGGUCUGAGAGGAUGAUCAGCCACACUGGGACUGCGACACGGCCCAGACUCCUACGGGAGGCAGAAGUGGGGAAGAUUGCACAAGGGGGGCAAGCCUGAUGAAGCCAUGCCGCGUGUAUUAAGAAGGCCUUCGGGUUGUAAAGUACUUUCAGUCGGGAGGCGGUACCGACAGAAGAAGCACCGGCUAACUCCGUGCCAGCAGCCGCGGUAAUAC